rnacentral:rRNA from 1 species
GAUGAACGCUAGCGGCAGGCCUAACACAUGCAAGUCGAGGGGUAGAGGAAGCUUGCUUCCUUGAGACCGGCGCACGGGUGCGUAACGCGUAUGCAAUCUACCUUUUACAGAGGGAUAGCCCAGAGAAAUUUGGAUUAAUACCUCAUAGUAUCUUUGCCUGGCAUCGGGUGAUUAUUAAAGUUCCAACGGUAAAAGAUGAGCAUGCGUCCUAUUAGCUAGAUGGUAAGGUAACGGCUUACCAUGGCAACGAUAGGUAGGGGUCCUGAGAGGGAGAACCCCCACACUGGUACUGAGACACGGAGCAGACGCCGAAGGGAGGCAGCAGUGAGGAAUAGUGGACAAUGGGAGCAAGCCUGAUCCAGCCAUGCUGCGUGCAGGAAGACGGUCCUAUGGAUUGUAAACUGCUUUUGUACGGGAAGAAACACUCCUACGUGUAGGAGCUUGACGGUACCGUAAGAAUAAGGAUCGGCUAACUCCGUGCCAGCCGCCGCGGUAACAC